CUGACUCAGACUAGCCAUGCACGUCUAGUACAAACUAAAUGAUGGUGAAACUGCAAAUGGCUCAUUACAACGGUUAUGAUGUACCCGGGAGUUCCGAUGGAUAUUUCCAGUAACACUAGAACUAAUACAUGUCCCUGCGUUUAUUAGUUUCGCACAGUCCGUCGCUGAGUCAUGGUAAACAGUUGAUCGACUCGACGUCCCGGAACAGUUUCCGCCCCAUCAGCUUCGAUGGUUGGGUAUUGGCCUACCAUUGCAUCAACGGGUAACGAGGAAUUAGGGUUUGAUUUCGGAGAGGGAGCCUGAGAAACGGCUACCACAUCUACGGAUGGCAGCAGGCGCGCAAAUUACCCAAUGCAGACACUGUGAGGUAGUGACGAGAAAUAAUAAAGCGGGACUUCUGUUUCGCUAUUAUAAUGAGGAAUAACCAAAGGUCAUUCCGAUUAGCAACUGAUGGGAAAGUCUGGUGCCAGCAGCCGCGGUAAUACCAGCGUCAGUAGCAU
rnacentral:rRNA from 1 species